AAGAAGAUGAUGAUCAAGAUGAUGAUAAAGAUGAUGCAUCAGAUGAUGAUAAAGCCAAUGAGGAUGAUGUAAUGUCUGACAAACCUAACGAAGAGAUAGUCACACAACCUGAAGCAGAAGUUAUCCCCCCAACACCAUUGAAAAGGAGUAAAAGGAAAGUCGCUGAUGGUCCGACCAAGAGAAGUCCCUAUGUCGAUCCAAUAUCAAGUGCCCCCUGCAAAAAGAACUCGAUCCCAUGCAUACCGAGGCAGAGGAAAAAGUAGGGGUAGAAGAAAAGGUAGAGUCACCAUCAGUACAAGCCAAAAGGAUGUUGAAGUUGCUGAGGUCGCUGAGGAUUCAACCGAGAAAGAGGUUGUUGGAGAAAAGGAGUAUGUGUGGAAUCCUGAGCGCAUUCACAGUAGUGGUAAGUUCCUUAUCCGGAAUCAAUCUUUUGUUGAAUGCGAUGGACCAAGGGCUUCAGCUCUUUGGGAAUUUAUGAAGAAGCCAUAAGAAAAAAGGUUGUGGAAGUCAGGGUUGAAUGUUGAGCGGGAACCAAGUUUUUGGGAGACGCUUUUGGAAGUCGAACUAUGACUCACAGAUAUUCACAUGGAUGAGGCGAUGUACCAACUCCGAACCCGCGUUAUGAAGAAUCCCGUGACCUUCAUUGGAUGCAAUUACUUGGUGUGUGACACCAUGUUUGUAGAGUUAAUCAAUACAUGGGCCGAAUCGGGAGAUAUGACAAAUUUGGGCGAUCUACAACCAUACUUCAACGAAAGGCUUCCUAUUGGCUGUACAGGGACGCCGUUGAUCAGCUACGAGGGAUUCGUGAGUGUGCCUAAUGUUCUCUGAUUUGGCAAUGAUGAAAUCAGUUGCAAUUGGAUUGCCAUUAAAGUGGAUUUCAGUGAGAAAACUCUGCAAAUCUACGAUUGCCAAGCCAGACUGCAUGAAAAGGCGAAAGAGGCAGUUCAAAAACUCUGUCAUGUCAUUCCGAAGUUGUGUUGCCUCACUGGGUCGGAAGCUUUCGCUGAUGGAGAUGUAUUGGACAUUGAGUAUGUGCAGGGCGUACCCCAAAAGAAUGGGGAAGAAUGCAGGGUUUUCGCAGUGAAGUACAUCGAAGCCAUUUGCCUUGCCAAAGAGCGGAUGCUAUUACCGUUGAUAUGCAAUGACAAUGUCACGCUGAUCCGUGAACAACUAGCAGCAGCAAUAUUCGCUAAUGGCAAGCCUCAGAGGUUUAGGAAGAAGAGAGAGUGAACGAUCCCUAAACCCUUUUUACGUUUAUGUUAUUUUGAACCCUUUUUAAGACUACUUUUGUUUGU